CCACUACAAAAAGAUACCCUGUGUACUAAACAUAAUCCAAAAUAUAAACAAUAUAUAUAUAGUAGUCUCGAGUACAAAAGACUGAAUUGAAAUAGACAGAGGAGGAUCAGUCUCGAACGACAGUAAGCUUACCCUGCUUCGAAUCAGUACUGAAAGGUAGAAACCACAUCAACGUCGACUGUUAGUACUCAAAUCUGCGUCAGAAAAAACAUGCAAAAUUGUAGUAUGAGUACCAAAGCGACAGGUACUCAGUAAGCAUCAUCGGCUGACUCAGCUCAAUACAGAAAAAGUAGAACUAAAAUAAGAGGGUGUAAUCUAAGUCAACAGUAAAGAGGGAUAGAAAGGUAAACAAGUACCAAGCUACGCAAAUGUGAUAUGGAAUAAAUAUAAGUGAUACAGAAAAAUAAAUAACGAAUUAAUAAAAUAGAAAUGAAACAUAACCUAAAUAGAUCCUCAUAAGUCCGCUAGGCACACUGAAGAAGACAAUUAACUAAACUGUAUCCCCAUAAGUCUGUAAAAUACAUAAGAAAUAAUUAAUGAAAAUAAAUAUAAAUAAUCUGUAAUCAAACCCAGUCCCAUGAAACCAUAGUAAUCAUCCAGAUAUGCAUCGGGCUUGAACUGGUACUAAUAGGUAGUAAUGAGAAGUCAGAUGUUGGGCUCAAACCAAUAGUAAUGGAUAAUAACAAGAGUACAUAUGUCAGAUUUGAACCGGAUAUGAUGGGUAGUAAUGAGAUGACACAUAUAUGAUAUACAACAGAACUCAUAAUCAGAUGUCGGACUUGAAUAGAAAUUCAGAGGAACCACAACUCCACAACGAUAGUAAUCAGUACCAGAAUUUCCACAUCAUAACCAGAUGUCGAAUUCUAACUGAACUCAUAGUAACCAUACCCAACUGUAAAAUUAAAAUUUCAAAUCAUACCAUAACCAAUGCUAAAGUGGUGCAAAAAUUCACAACAAGAACAAAAGAAAAAACAUACCUGACCCUAAAUCGUAACUAAAAAUACAUAUAAAUAACUAUUCGCAUAACAUAAUUAAAAAGGAUGAAUCCAAGGUUCCAUAAUUUACUUCUACUUCCUACCAUGAUAUAUUCUAUAUUAUACCAAAAGAUAAGAUAUCAAAAUAUACUAGAACAGAGUCCUAGACGAAUAAAUUAGGCAUUAUAUAUAUAUAUAUAUAUAUAUAAAAUGAUCCGCAAAUUAUAAGUACUUGUCCAAAACUAGCAUAAUAGUACACAAUUAUCGUAGAUAAGCUCAAUCUAAAAAUAAGAUAAGUCUAGCCUACCUAAACGCCAAAGCUAAAAAACCUCUUCGAGAAGCCUUCGAAAAGUGUCCCGCUAGAAACCAAGUGGAAUAAAUAUAGAAGUACCUUAAAUUUACUUUGUGAUGCAAUCGGGCAUGAAUGAAAACUUAUUGAUAGAAAAUUUUUAAAAAGUUCCACGAACAGAAUGUUUUAAAACUCGAUGUAGAAUGUAAU
rnacentral:lncRNA from 1 species